rnacentral:lncRNA from 1 species
GAUCCCAUGUAGCAAACCUACAGGCGUCCGCUAGUAACGAGACAGAAUGUGCUAACAUCGGGAUAAAUUAGUGAAAGGGAAGAAAGAAUAAGAAGAAAGGACUGAAAAUCUGGGCUGGAUUCCGCCUGUUAGUCGGGAAGUGGCAUUUUUCCGCCCGUCCUGACAGAUUUGAUUUCUUGAACUAACUUAAGAGAAAAGGAGGGGGGGAGUAGAGGGAGGAGGAGGAGGAGGAAGAAAGGGUGGGAUGAGAAACUGGGCAAGAGGAGAAAAAGAAAGGUGUGGAGGAGGAGAGAGCAGAUGAUUCAUGCAAGCCUUUCACAUCACGUGAGGAUCAAGGGCUCAAUUGGUUGUCGUGAGAACAAAAAUGGUGACAAGCGUAUCAAGAAAAUACUGAUCUGGUCUUUAAAAAAAAAAAAAAGCUGAAAGUCUCUCCCCUCCCCCUGCACACACUCCCCCAACCUCUUCCCUCCGCACCCCGCAGUGGGCGAAGCUACAAGUUAUGAAUGUGAAACAUUUCUCGGAGAUCUAGGAUCUCCG